AUUGAACGCUGGCGGAAUGCUUUACACAUGCAAGUCGAACGGCAGCACGGGGCAACCUGGUGGCGAGUGGCGAACGGGUGAGUAAUACAUCGGAACGUGCCCAAUCGUGGGGGAUAACGUAGCGAAAGUUACGCUAAUACCGCAUACGAUCUACGGAUGAAAGCGGGGGAUCGCAAGACCUCGCGCGAAUGGAGCGGCCGAUGUCAGAUUAGGUAGUUGGUGGGGUAAAGGCUCACCAAGCCGACGAUCUGUAGCUGGUCUGAGAGGACGACCAGCCACACUGGGACUGAGACACGGCCCAGACUCCUACGGGAGGCAGCAGUGGGGAAUUUUGGGACAAUGGGCGCAAGCCUGAUCCAGCCAUUCCGCGUGCAGGAUGAAAGGCCUUCGGGUUGU
rnacentral:rRNA from 1 species